GGACAGGUGGCCGAGUGGUUAAAGGCAGCAGACUGUAAAUCUGCCCGUGUAAGCGUACAUAGGUUCGAAUCCUAUCCUGUCCA
rnacentral:tRNA from 1 species